UCUACAGGAAGCUGCUCUUGACUUUUCAGUUUGACGUUUCGCGUUCAGGCUGGAGGAGCGGGAGGAGGUGUCGGGGAUCAUGGACAAUCCAAACCAGAGUGGACGUUCUGACAGCAGAGAGUUUUAUGGAGUUAAGGUUUCAAACUUACUAAAGGCUUUGGCUGAGCGGAAACCACCACCUUGUGACCUCACACAUCUGGACCCCAGAAACAUCAGCUCCAGCCUCGGGACCACGGCGACAAAAGCAGGUCCACGUCACGCCCGUGGGACCUUCAGAGGCAAAGCCUUCCUCCCCGAACACAUCAGCAAACUGUCCAGUCGCAAAUUUAAGAGGCGAAACCCUCUGAGAGAAAGCUUACCGGCUCCGGCACCUCUUCCCACCCCCGUCACUCCGGCGGCCUCA